rnacentral:rRNA from 1 species
CGCCUGGGGAGUACGGUCGCAAGAUUAAAACUCAAAUGAAUUGACGGGGGCCCGCACAAGCGGUGGAGCAUGUGGUUUAAUUCGAUGCAACGCGAAGAACCUUACCUACUCUUGACAUCCAGAGAACCUUUUAGAGAUAGAAGGGUGCCUUCGGGAACUCUGAGACAGGUGCUGCAUGGCUGUCGUCAGCUCGUGUUGUGAAAUGUUGGGUUAAGUCCCGCAACGAGCGCAACCCUUAUCCUUGUUUGCCAGCACUUCGGGUGGGAACUCCAGGGAGACUGCCGGUGAUAAACCGGAGGAAGGUGGGGACGACGUCAAGUCAUCAUGGCCCUUACGAGUAGGGCUACACACGUGCUACAAUGGCAUAUACAGAGGGCUGCCAACUCGCGAGAGUGAGCGAAUCCCAUAAAGUAUGUCGUAGUCCGGAUUGGAGUCUGCAACUCGACUCCAUGAAGUCGGAAUCGCUAGUAAUCGUGGAUCAGAAUGCCACGGUGAAUACGUUCCCGGGCCUUGAACACACCGCCCGUC